rnacentral:rRNA from 1 species
UACGUAGGGGGCAAGCGUUGUCCGGAUUAUUGGGCGUAAAGAGCGUGUAGGCGGUUAGGUAGGUCCGUUGUGAAAACUCGAGGCUCAACCUCGAGACGCCGAUGGAAACCCCCUAACUAGAGUCCGGAAGAGGAGAGUGGAAUUCCUGGUGUAGCGGUGAAAUGCGCAGAUAUCAGGAAGAACACCCGUGGCUAAGGCGGCUCUCUAGUACGGUACUGACGCUGAGACGCGAAAGCGUGGGGAGCAAACAGG